rnacentral:lncRNA from 1 species
CGAGAAAUCUGUCACCUAUGAUUCACCUCCACCACCUGUGAAGUACGAGCAAGCACCCACCUAUGCUUCACCUCCACCACCUGUGAAGUACGAGCAAGCACCCACCUAUGCUUCACCUCCACCACCUGUGAAGUACGAGCAAACACCCACUUACGCUUCACCUCCACCACCUGUGAAGUACGAGCAAACACCCACCUAUGCUUCACCUUCCCCACCCACGUACUAUAAGCAAACACCCACCUAUGCUUCACCUCUACCACC